rnacentral:rRNA from 1 species
UGCCAGCAGCCGCGGUAAUACAGAGGGUGCGAGCGUUAAUCGGAAUUACUGGGCGUAAAGCGUGCGUAGGUGGCUAGUUAAGUUGGAUGUGAAAGCCCUGGGCUUAACCUAGGAAUUGCAUUCAAGACUGGCUGGCUAGAGUAGAGUAGAGGGUAGUGGAAUUUCCGGUGUAGCGGUGAAAUGCGUAGAUAUCGGAAGGAACACCAGUGGCGAAGGCGACUUCCUGGGCCAAUACUGACGCUGAGGUGCGAAAGCGUGGGGAGCAAACAGGAUUAGAUA